UACGGAAGGCAGCAGUGGGGAAUAUUGCACAAUGGGCGAAAGCCUGAUGCAGCUAUGCCGCGUGUAUGAAGAAGGCCUUAGGGUUGUAAAGUACUUUUCAUCGGGGAGGAAAAAACAAAACUAAUAAUUUUAUUUCUUGACGUUACCCGAAAAAGAAGCACAGGCUAACUCCGUGCCAGCAGCCGCGGUAAUACGGAGGGUGCUAGCGUUAAUCAGAAUUACUGGGCGUAAAGAGCACGUAGGUGGUUUUUUUAAGUUCAGAUGUGAAAUCCCUUGGGCUUAACCUGGAACUGCAUUUUGAAACUGAAAUACUAGAGUAUCGUAGAGGGAGGUAGAAUUCUAGGUGUAGCGGUGAAAUGCGUAGAUAUCUGGAGGAAUACCUGUGGCGAAAGCGGCCUCCUAAACGAAUACUGACACUGAGGUGCGAAAGCUGGGGAGCAAACAGGGAUUAGAUAC
rnacentral:rRNA from 1 species